UGGGGAAUAUUGCACAAUGGGCGCAAGCCUGAUGCAGCCAUGCCGCGUGUAUGAAGAAGGCCUUCGGGUUGUAAAGUACUUUCAGCGGGGAGGAAGGCGAUAAGGUUAAUAACCUUGUCGAUUGACGUUACCCGCAGAAGAAGCACCGGCUAACUCCGUGCCAGCAGCCGCGGUAAUACAGGAGGUGCAAGCGUUAAUCGGAAUUACUGGGCGUAAAGCGCACGCAGGCGGUCUGUCAAGUCGGAUGUGAAAUCCCCGGGCUCAACCUGGGAACUGCAUUCGAAACUGGCAGGCUGGAGUCUUGUAGAGGGGGUAGAAUUCCAGGUGUAGCGGUGAAAUUGCGUAGAGAUCUGGAGGAAUACCGGUGGCGAAGGCGGCCCCCUGGACAAAGACUGACGCUCAGGUGCGAAAGCGUGGGAGCAAACA
rnacentral:rRNA from 1 species